rnacentral:lncRNA from 1 species
UUUUUUCCAUUACAGCUGAUUUACGGUGUUCUGUCAAUUUUCUGCUGCACAGCAAGGUGACCCAGUCAUACGUACAUGUAUACAUUCUUUUUUCUCACAUUAUCAUGCUCCAUCACAAGUGACCAGACAUAUUUCCCAGUGCUAUUCAGCAGGAUCCCAUUGUUUAUCCAUUCCAAAGGCUAAAGUUUGCAUCUAUUAACCUCAAAAUCCCAGUCCCUCCUACUUCCUCCCUCUCCCUCUUGGCAACCACAAGUCUGUUCUCCAUGUCCAUGAUUUUCUUUUCUGAGAAAUGGUUCAUUUGUGCUGUAUAUUAGAUUCCAGAUAUAAGCAAUAUCAUGAUAUUUGUCUUUCUCCUUAUGACUUAUUUCACUCAGUAUGAGAGUUUCUAGUUCCAUCCAUGUGGCUAAAAAUGGCAUUAUUUUGUUCUUUUUUAUAGCUGAGUAGUAUUCCAUUGUGUAUAUAUAACACAUCUUCUUAAUCCAAUCAUCUGUCAAUGGACAUUUAGGUUGUUUCCAUGUCUUGGCUAUUGUGAAUAGUGCUGCAGUGAACAUGCGGGUGCAUGUGUUCUUUUUAACUAGAAUUUUGUCUGGAUAUAUGCCCAAGAGUGGGAUUACUGAAGUCGUAUGGUAGUUCUACAUAUAAUUUUCUAAUGUACCUCCAUACUGUUUUCCAUAGUGGUCGUGCCAAUUUAUAUUCCCACCAACAGUUCAGGAGGGUUCCCUUUUCUCCACACCCUCUCCAGCAUUUGUAAUUCGUGGACUUAUUAAUGAUGGUCAUUCUGACUGGCGUGAGGUGGUACCUCAUAGCAGUUUUGAUUUGCGUUUCUCUAAUAAUCAGUGAUGUUGAACAUUUUUUCAUGUUCUUGUUGGCCAUCUGUAUAUCUUUGGAGAAAUACCUAUUCAGGUCUUUUUCCCAUUUUUCAAUUGGAUCAUUGGCCUUUUUGCUGUUGAGUUGAAUAAAUUGUAUAUUUUAGAGAUUAACCCUUGUCAGUCGCAUCCUUUGAAACUAUUUUCUCCCAUUCUGUAAGUCGUCUUUUUGUUUUUUUAAUGGUUUCCUUUGCUAUGCAAAUCUUGUCUGUUUGAUUCAGUCCUACUGGUUUAUUUUUGCUUUUAUUUCUUUUGCCUUGGGAGACUGACCUGAGAAAAUGUAUUUUCUUUUUUUACAUUCCUCAUAUGAUAUUUAUCUUUGUAUGGCUUACUUUACUAACUGUAAUAUUCUCUGGGGCCAUCCAUGUUGUUGCAAGUAGCAUUAUUUCAUUCUUUCUGAUGGCUACUAUUCCGGUGUGUGUGUGUGUGUGUGUAUGUAUCUGUGCAUGCAUGUGUAGAUGUGUUGCAUUAGAUCAUGGAGAGCUAGCCGUCAUAACAAAAACUCCAAAAUAGUAUAAGUUCUGUUGACAUAACAGUAUUUGAUGCAGCUCAGAUCCUGCAUUGCUGUGGCUCUGGUGUAGGCCAACAGCUAUAGCUCCGAUUCAACCCCUAGCCUGGGAACCCCCAUGUGCCUUGGGAGCAGCCUAGGAAAUGGCAAGAAGACAAAAAAAAAAAAA